GACAGAGGUGCCGAGCGUUAGGCGGAAUCACUGGGCUUAAAGCGUGUGUAGGCGGAGUUCUAAGUACCUUGUGAAAUCCCACGGCUUAACCGUGGAACUGCUUGGUAUACUGGUUCUCUUGGGCCAUCUAGGGGCUACUGGAACAAACGGUGGAGCGGUGAAAUGCGUAGAUAUCGUUUGGAACGCCAAUGGUGAAAACAAGUAGCUGGGGAUGUGCCGACGCUGAGACACGAAAGCCAGGGGAGCGAACGGG
rnacentral:rRNA from 1 species